UGAAGGCCAUGAAGUCUCAAGCUGGCCCAGUCAAUGUGGCCUUGGCAUUGAAGUCUCCCAGGACCAGGGGUGCCAACUUGAAUCAAAUAGGAGGAGGGAGGUAAGCCCUACCCCACAUAAUCAAUCACAGCAUCAAUUUUGUGGUCCCCCAGACCCCUCAAAUAUUUUAUUGGGGGCAGGGCUUUUUUCAGGGGGAAUUCUCUGGCAUACAGUUCCAGCACCUGUGAGAGUUCCAGAUCCUCUCAGGUGAGUUCUGGCACGUCAACUCAGGUGAGUGCCAUGGCCAUUCUAAGAGAAAUUGUUCAUGAUGAGUUCCAGCCCUUCUUUUUCAAGAAAAAUAGCACUGAUUAGUGGACCUGAAGGGACGUCAGCCUCUAAGAGUUGGCUCCUAUGCUCAGUACCAACCUCCUGGGGUACUUGAACACACUCAAGACCACCUCAGUCAAGUAAGCGAUUAGACAACAGUGUUGGCAGUACACCUAAAGCAGGCAGAGUCUGUCCUAGUAUAGGGUUGCCAUAUGUCUAGAAUUUCCUAGACAUAGCUGGGAUUCGGCCACCGGAAACCGUGUCUGGGUAGAAAUCGUGGAAGUGGCAAAUUACCUUAAAAUUACGUCUUGGCAAAUUACCUUAAAAAUAGCUCAAAAACUUCUUCUUUUUUGAGAUUUUGCAAAAAGAAAAAGAAAAAAGAGCAACAACUUUUGUGUCUGGAUUUUCACUUUUUGAAAUGUGGCAACCCUAUCCUACUAGUCCAAUGAAAAGUACAGGCCUUUAUGACAGGCUGUAUAUACUGUGGUUUCAGUCUCCAAGGUAAUUAAUUUCCUACAUGCUGAGAGAUCCUGAAAGAAUAGCGCCGCCAAACGGUUUGAAUGUGCCUUCGGCAUGCUGCAAUUAGCAGCAAUACUUUGGGCUGCAAGAAGCAAAAUUGUGUUGAGAGGCAGGACAAAGGGGAAAAGGGAUGUGGGCAUAGGGGCCACCUAUUUGAUGUGACAAACCACUCAUCAAAAGUUCGGGAAAGCACCAAUGAGCCUCCUCAAGAGCAGGGGCUGCAGAUGUAAUAGCCAAUUAUUUUUGCUUAAUCGGUUUUCCACAGUAAGAGGUAAUGAUGACAGUCUUUGUAUGCUGCUGUCAUGAAUAACAGUGGUACCUUGGUUGUCAAACACUAAAAAUCCAGAAGUAAGUGUUCCGGGUUUUGAAUGUUUUUUGGAAGCCGAACAUCCGAUGCGGCUGUUGGCUAUUGUUUCUGGGGCACCUGCACCAAUCAGAAGCUGUGCCUUGGUUUUCAAACACAGUGGUGCCCUGCAAGACGAAUGCCUCGCAAGGCGGAAAACUCGCUAGACGAAAGGGUUUUCCGUUUUUUGAGCUGCUUCGCAAGAUGAAUUUCCCUAUGGGCUUGCUUCGCAAGAGGAAAACAUCUUGCAAGUUUGUUUCCUUUUUCGUAAAACCGUUAAUAUCCAGGGUGCAUUGCUUGAAGAGGUGCAGUUGCGACUUGACUUCGAGGAGCAACACAUUGCACGCGGUGUGAUGGCCUUUCUGAGCUUUUUAAAGAGUUUGCUGGAUUUUUGAAGCUUUUCCAAAACUUCUUUUGCAGCCGUUUGGUAAGUUAAACUUUUAAAACUUUUUGGGGGGGUUUUGGAUUUUGGGUUGGGGUGUUUGGAAUUCAAGGACUUGGUGUUGGGGAGAGGUUUGCAAGAAUCUGGGAGCUUGUGUGUGGUUUUUUUUGAAUUUUUAUGAUUUUCUGUGACCAUUGGGGCACUCUGCUGUGUUUUUUUUUAAAAAAAUUCUGGGUUUGAAUUUCUGUGUGGUGGGUGGCUGGGGGAACAGUUGAGGAGGGGUUUGCAAGAAUCUGGGAGCUUGUGUGGGUUUUUUUUGAAUUUUUAUGAUUUUCUUUGACCAUUGGCCCAUGUUUUUUUUUUUUUUUUUCAAAAAACAUUUAUGAGUUUGAAUUUCUGUGUGGUGGGUGACUGGGGGAGCAGUUGGGGGGGGUUGCAACAGUUGGGGAGGGGUUUGCAAUUUCUGUGUGGUGGGUGGGUGGCUGGGGGAACAGUUGAGGUUUUUGAAGACUUUGGUGAUUUUUAAAGCUUUUACAAAACUUCUUUGCAGCCAUUUGAGGAUUUUGAAGACUUUGGUGAUUUGCAGCCAUUUCGUAAGUUAAACUUUUUAAAACUUUUUUUGGGGGUUUUUGGAUUUUGGGUUGGGUGUUUGGAAUUCAAGGACUUGGUUCUGGGUUUGAAUUCCUGUGUGGUGGGUGGCUGGGUGCUUUUGAAUUUUUUGGGUGUGAAGCACUGAUUUUUUUUUUUCUGAGUUUACGAAGCUAGGAGCUGUGCUGCCAUGGGACCCAAGAAGACUGCUGCUGCAGAGGCCGGCGAGAGGAAGAAGGAGAAGGUGAUGCUGGAAAUUAAGAAGGAGAUUAUCCGGAAGCACGACGGUGGAAUGCGUGUGACAGACCUCGCCAGGGAGUAUGGCAGGAACCCAUCGACCAUCGGCACCAUCCUGAAGAUGAGGGAGAAGAUCCUUGCGACUGAUGCAGCCAAGGAAGUCACCAGGAUCGUGAAGAACCGCCCAGCUGUUCUGGAGGAGGUCGAGAAGUUGCUGCUCAUCUGGUUAGAAGAGAAGCAGCGUGCAGGGGACACAGUGACUGAGGCCAUGAUUUGUGAGAAGGCCAAGGCCUUGCACGCAAACCUCAUCCGGGAACAGCCAGGAACCUCAGGCGAGCCAGAAGUCUUCAAGGCAAGCAGAGGCUGGUUUGACCGGUUCAAGACGAGAUCUGGAAUCCACAGCGUGGUCAGGCAUGGAGAGGCUGCCAGUUCUGAUGUUCCUGCGGCUGAAGACUUUGCCUUGGAGUUCCUGGAGGCUGUGAAGACAGAGGGCUAUGUUCCACAGCAGGUCUUCAACUGCGACGAGACCGGGCUGUUUUGGAAGAGGAUGCCCAAAAGGACUUUCAUCACUCAGGAGGAGGCCAAGUUGCCUGGCCACAAGCCCAUGAAGGACCGUCUGACCCUGCUCUUCUGUGCCAACGCUAGCGGCGACCUGAAGAUCAAGCCCCUGCUGGUGUACCACUCGGAGAACCUACGGGCCUUCAAGAAACACAAGGUCGACAAGGAGCAGCUGAGUGUCAUGUGGCGAUCCAACAGUAAGGCUUGGGUCACACGUGUGCUGUUUGUGGACUGGGUCAAUCUUGCUUUUGGCCCUGCUGUCAAACAGUACCUGCUGGACAACGACCUGCCGCUGAAGGCUUUGCUUCUGAUGGACAAUGCUCCUGCUCAUCCUAAAGGCCUUGAGGAGGACUUGUUGGAGGAGUUCAGCUUCAUCAACAUCAUGUUCCUGCCACCUAACACCACGCCACUUCUCCAGCCGAUGGAUCAGCAGGUCAUCACCAAUUUCAAAAAACUCUACACCAAGGAGCUUUUCAGGCGAUGCUUCGAGGUGACUGAUUGCACCACCAUCACCCUGCGGGAAUUCUGGAAGGACGACUUCGACAUCGUCACCUGCUUGAAGAUGAUCACCACGGCCUGGAACGGGAUCAGCCAGAGAAAUUUGAAUUGCGCUUGGCGCAGUCUGUGGCCGGACUGUGUGGCACCAAGUGACUCUGAUGCACCAGAGUCAACAGUGGUGCAGGACAUUGCUGCCUUGGGGAGGACCACGGGCCUGGAGGUCACAGAGGAGGACGUCUGCGAGCUGGUGGAGGAGCACGACCACGAGCUGACCACCCAGGAGCUGGUCGAACUGCAGGCAGAGGCUGCGCAGGAGCAGGCCUCGCUGGAAGAGAAGGAAGCAACUGAGGAACGGCUGUCCUCCAAAGAACUGAGGGACAUUUGCAUGAAGUGGAAGGAUGUGCAGGCUUUUGCACAGCGGAACCACCCUAACAAGCACGUGGCACAUGACCUUGCGAACACUUUGAUAUGAUCGGUCAUGCCGCCUUUCAGGGAGGGUGCUGAAAAGGCAGAUGACGCAUCAGACCAUGGACAGGUUAUUUAGCAAGAAGCAAAGAGUGGAAGAGGAACCUUCUUCGAGUGGUCCCCCAGAGUCUUAGAAAAUGUAGUGUACACUUUGUUGAUUUUUAAAUGUUUUUCCUGUCAUGUUUAGAAACUUAAUUUAUUGUUCCUUCAAUUUUUGAAAUGCUCUUUACAGUAUGUGUGACUUUAAAGAGCACUUAAUAAACUCUUGUUGUACCAAAUCUGGCUUUGUUUGGACUUUUUUUGACCAUAGGAACACAUUAAUUGAAUUUCAAUGCAUUCCUAUGGGAUUUCGUGCUUCGCAAGACGAAAAAUUCGCUAGACGAAAAAACUCGCGGAACGAAUUAAUUUCGUCUUGCGAGGCACCACUGCAUUUCGGAAGUCAAGCACACUUCCGGAACGGAUGAAGUUUGGUGCUUCUCCCCCCCCACCCCCAGUUUAUUCAAUUUAUUCUGUGUUUUCGUUUUUGAGGCUUUUUCAAUUAAUUUUGUGACUGUGUGGAACCCAGUUCAGCUACUGAUUGAUUGAUUGAUUGAUUGAUUGUGUGACUGUGGAGAUGGAUAAGAGCCCCCCAUCCAAACAAUGACUAUCAUCAGUGCAGGUAAGAAUUUUUUUUUUUUAAUUUUUAUCAUCCACAAUACUGUCUUAUUUAUUUUAUACUACAGUUCAUUGAUUAUUGCUUUCAUUUUAUGGAUCAAUGGUCUCGUUAGAUAGUAAAAUUCAUGUUAAAUUGCUGUUUUAGGGAUUGUUUUUAAAAGUCUGGAACGGAUUAAUCCGUUUUGCAUUACUUUCUAUGGGAAAGCGCACCUUGGCCUUGGAACGCUUUGGUUUUGGAAAGGACUUCUGGAACAGAUUAAGUAUGAGAACCAAGGUACCACUGUAUAUGCAUUCUGAUGCACACCUUACCCUAGUAUGUGCAUUUUCUUACACAUUACUUGGCAUGGCAAAAUUCAGAUAAGUGCAAAUUUCAAUAGGCGACUGUGUUUCAUGGCACAUUUUUUUUGUCAGAAUGCGUAUAUUAGGUAGCCUCACCUUUAAAUGAGGACUGGUUCAAAAUUUUGCCCGCUCCUGUUUCUGCUCUCAGGUAUUUCCAACUCUCAUUGUAAUCAGUCAAAUGACGAUAUGCUUGUUGCGCUUCGGAUGCCAAGUCUGAUAUCAUCAGUGUUGGGGACAGCAGGGAUUACUGAAUAUGCAAUGAUGAAUAUUCUAUUGAAAAUUGGUCAUAAUUACCUUGGGCUGCAAUAACCCUUAACCUGCAAACUUUUACUCAUAGAUUAAGAGCACCUUAGAGAAUGUUCUCCACUUUUCCCUGCAUUUUACAUCCUACACCAAGGUCUCAUCUCCUUCAUUUUUAAAGUGGCUCUACACUACAUUAACCUAAUUCCCUUGGUUCCUCUAAAUAGUUGUAGAAGAUAAUUUCCUGUUCUUCAUAACCUUCUUAGCUGUCCUACUCUGUACUUACACGUUUGUGUCAGCAAUUAAACUCUUACAUGCCCUCAUUAAUGCACUGAACCUUGUCUCCAUUCCUCUAUCCCUCACUUCAUUCUGCUAUGUGGUAUAAAUAUGGCUCUAUUGUUCAUUAGCAUACGGCCCCCUUAAUCCCUCAAAGAAGGUACAGGUGUGGGUAUAUUCUGCCCACUGCCCCACCCCUGUUGCAAAUGAGACCCACUUGAACUUCUGUGCCAUGCCUUUGAAACAGCAGUCCUGUUAAACUUCACGAUAAUUCCGAAAAGGAAGGGAGGUGGAAAAGACUUCCCUUAAAAAAUUCCAAGCACAUGUAUUUACUUUUAUCUCACAAACGGCUAUCAUGGCACGGCUUUGUCACUGCCGAAAUGCAAGAUGAAUAAUGCAUUUUGCAAACAACAGGAACCUUCCAUUGUGAAAAUAAAUUAUUCCAAAUAAGACACAUGUUAGCCACGGAUACGUCGGUGGGCUCGAUAAGAGAAAUAACUAGAGGAAAUUAAAUGACCUGUCUACAGGAGGGCGGGCAAGGUAGUUUGAACUGUCUCUUCAAGUUUAAAAUUUAUGAACCAGUGGAGUUGUGCCUCUCGCCCUCAUACGUGAUCAUAUUCAAUGGAAUCCAAGAACAACACUUGCAUAAACACACACACAUCCAUAGAUUACCUUUCCAGGACUGAGCUACUGAAGAAUCCUGAAGAGCUUAAUUUCAAAUGGGACUUAAGUCAAUUUUAACCAAGAUUCCAUUUGGAAGAAAAUUAUUUCUGACUAGGGCUUUUUAAAAAAAUAAUAAAAAAAUGCAAACACGAUUUUCAAGGCUUGCUAACACAGUGACUUAGAACAUCAUAAAACAAUGCACAUUUGACCUCCAUGCCCCGCCCAAAAAAGUUUUGCCACAUGCAAAGUCAUUUUAUGUAUCUGAGUUACUUCUCGCCAUGUUGCCCAUCAAUCAAAUAGGUGCCAUGGCAAAUCAAGCUAACUGCCAGUUGUGCAUCAGGACAACUGAAUGAUUAAUUAGUGGUUUUAAUUAAACUCCUUUGCGGCAGUAUAGUGAAAAUUAAAUCUGAACGACAAAAUGGAAGCCUACCUGGGAAGCGUUAAAUAUUGUUGCAAUGAUCUCCAAGUCAGGCCUGUUUCGUUUCAGGUUUUCUCUUUUAGUUUCUUCUGUGGGCACUGAUGGUGAGAAGAUACCUGAGGAAAGAAGCAUUAAUAGCUUUUGAUGGCUGGUGGCUACUAGCUGGAGAAGAAAGUAGAGCAGGAGUUCCAAAAUUGUGCUCUGUGGACCACCAGUGGUCCAUGAGUUUCAUUCAGGUGGUCCUCGACUUGUCUGCUUUAAAUAUUCAUAUUGGUUUUAAAUUGAAUGUUUUUUGUUUCUUUUAUUUCUUACAUUGCAGUACAAUAAAUUUCUGAUAUAAUAAUAAAAAACACAAAAAUACAAUUCAAAGUAAUACAAUAUCUAGCCUAGCAUAUUACAAUAGCUAAAAUGGGCAGAGAAAAAUAUUAAGUUUCCUACCAAAACCCUCAGCAAUUUUCAAGUGGUCCACGAGGGAAUUUAUUUUCGGAAGUACUGAGAUAGAGGAGAGCAUUUGAUUUGAGCCAGCAAGUCUGUUUUUACAUGUAUCUGUUAAUAAAAAUACAUUGAGACUCCAUGAGAAUGCUUCUUGGAAACAGGUGCUGGUUUAAAAACAAAAUGUCUGUCUAAAUUAUCUAUCUCUUUCUCUGAUACUUAAGCUAUACACCUGUUAAAGGAAUCCAGUCCAAAGCUUAUUCCUCACAAGAAAACUGACCCAUGUGAAAGGGUUCUCCAAGGAAGGGAGGAGUGAAAGAAUAUUCGUCACAAAUGGGGUAACUGACAAAGAGGCAUUGCAAAAACCAUACACAAAGCUGUUCAGCUUAGCAAAAAAAAGGCAGUUCAGACAACUCCGGUUUGCUUGUGGUUUUCGUUUGUGCCCAUACUGAUCUUCCUGGGUUUGAUGGAAGAUUCAUAGUUUUGUCAUCCAUUUAGCAUACUUAAACAUUCACCACAUUUAAAUCAAAUCCCAUAGAGUUAGCAUACUUAAUCAUUCACCACAUUUAAAUCAAAUCCCAUAGAUUUGUUUAAUCAAACAAAGUACACUUUAUUUACACAAUUCUCUCUUGCGAAAAGACAAAAGCAGAAUUUGACGAGGAGCACAUGCAAUUCGCUUACUUAAAACAAUUAGCACUGCAAAUUUGUUUACACCAAAGAUUGAACAAAUUGCUCGAAACAAUGCGCACGCCGACUUUCUCAUUUACACUAAUGGGCUCGCAUUUGUAGCUCUGAAAGCAAAGUCUGAUGGAUUUCAUAACAUCUAUGUGCCUGGUGUGUAUCCCAUCGACUCUCCAAGGAACUUGUUUUAUUCUCACAUAUAGGUCUGAGAUAUGUCUGUUUUAUUCUCACAUUAGUCUGAGAUAUGUCUGUUGUCUUUGUCCAUGGAGUUUUCUUGGCAGGGAUACUGGAGUGGCUUGCCGGUUCCUCAUCGAGGUGGAUCACGUUUGGUCAAAACUCUCCACUAUGACCUGUCCAUCUUGGGUGCCCUGCUCGGCAUAGUUCAUAGCAUCUCUGAGUUAUUCAAGCCCCUUCGCCACGGCAAGGCAGUGCCAACAAAGGUCCGUAUAGUUAAAGCUAUGGUUUCCCAGUAGUGAUGUAUGGAAGUGAGAGCUGGACCAUAAAGAAGGCUGAUCACCGAAGAAUUGAUGCUUUUGAAUUAUGGUGCUGGAGGAGACUCUUGAGAGUCCCAUGGACUACAAGAAGAUCAAACCUAUCCAUUCUUAAGGAAAUCAGCCCUGAGUGCUCACUGGAAGGACAGAUCCUGAAGCUGAGGCUCCAAUACUUUGGCCACCUCAUGAGAAGAGAAGACAUCCUUGGAAAAGACCCUGAUGUUGGGAAAGAUUGAGGGCACAAUGAGAAAGGGAUGGCAGAGGAUGAGAUGGUUGGAUAGUGUUCUCGAAGCUACCAACAUGAGUUUGACUAAACUGCGGGAGGCAGUGGAAGACAGAAGUGCCUGGCGUGCUCUAGUUCAUGGGGUCACGAAGAGUCAGACACGGCUAAACGACUAAACAACAACAAUUAGUCUGAGAUAUGGCAGCUGGCCCACAGUCAGAGACAGCAACUUGAGCAGAAGAUUGCCGUGCGGGAGGGCAUGACACACACAUGGCAUCCUUGUGACACAGGGAGGAGCCAUGGGUGGAGUUGAAUGUCGCAGCAGCCCAGCUUCAAUGGCUGGUGGCUCUUUCUCUCUGGCACUCAGCCUCCUCCUCCUACUACUGCAUCCACUGUCUGGGGGAUGCUUCCCUCAUCCUUCCCCUCUGCAGCAGUAGGAGGAGCUGCCAGCGACACAAUUUUGCUUUGAGAGCUUUUAUAGCUUUUUUUCCUGUAGUGUUUUUUUAUAUCCAUAUAGAUCCAGCCCUGGUCUAACACUGUAGCCCAUUUAAAUAAUGAAAGUGAUAUGAAAAGGAAAUGAUACUUGCUUGAUGUAUCAUCAUAUAACCUCAUUGCAGCCAAAUCCAAGCAAGUGUUCAAUAAUAAGCAUCGUCUAACCUCCCUGAGAAAUUUGUGCAAACGGAUCAGGAUCAAUAAACAGGUCAUUUGGAGGUGACCGAAGUUUAACUUCUUUCCACCUGCCUUCCGAACACAUUACAGUGGUGCCUCGGGUUACAGACGCUUCAGGUUACAGACACUUCAGGUUACAGACUCCGCUAACCCAGAAAUAGUAUCUCGGGUUAAGAACUUUGCUUCAGGAUGAGAACAGAAAUCGUGUGGUGGCGGGGUGGCAGCAGCGGGAGGCCCCAUUAGCUAAAGUGGUGCUUCAGGUUAAGAACAGUUUCAGGUUAAGAAUGGACCUCCAGAACGAAUUAAAUUCUUAACCCGAGGUACCGCUGUAUUUGGAAGCAACAGGGCUUUCAAAAUUCUUCCUUCCUUCCUUCCUUCCUUCCUUCCUUCCUUCCUUCCUUCCUUAUUUAAAAUAUUAAGUGUUCAUCUGUUUCUUGACCAUAUUGGAAAUAUUUUUUUGUCUUCUCACUUCUCAUAGGCCAUCUUCACUCAUAAACAUAUCUGUAAGAAUUGUAGCAAGAAACUUCACUGGGUGGCCAUUCUAUAUGUCAUAUUUUCCCUUACAAGGAAAAUCUCUAUUUACAAUCUCUAUUUAAGAUGCAUGUUUAUUUUGCUCAAUCAGUGGUACCUCGGGUUACAUACGCUUCAGGUUACAUACGCUUCAGGUUACAGACUCUACUAACCCAGAAAUAGUGCUUCAGGUUAAGAACUUUGCUUCAGGAUGAGAACAGAAAUCGUGCAGUGGCAGCAGCGGGAGGCCCCAUUAGCUAAAGUGGUGCUUCAGGUUAAGAACAGUUUCAGGUUAAGAAUGGACCUCCAGAACGAAUUAAGUACUUAACCCGAGGUACCACUGUACAUGGAGGAUCUAUGCUUCUUGUUUGAUGGUGCUAAUUCUUCCUACACAGGUGGGUACAGAAUAAAGAUGCAUGAAAUAACUCUCAUUAUUUGCAUUACAAAGGUUGUCCAUACAUGUCAAUUGUUCCUGGGUGAAUAACACAGAACACAAGACCAUCACUGAGCUUGUGAACUGGAAGCAUUCCUGCAUCAGCAUGAGAAGCCCAUCAGAUGCCUCCUUCUGGUCUUCCUCUAAUUACUCUCUUUCUCUCUCGUUACUUAGGAAAUGACUGUAACUCAGUGGUAGACCAUUUGCUUUCCCCACAUAAAGUCCCAGUUUAAUCUCCCAGGAUCUCCAAGUAAGGCAAAACAUUUCCUGUCUGUCACAGUCAGUUUUCUCUUAUCCCGUCAAAACUCAUGAUCUACCACCACUCAGACUUCCCACUUCCCAUUUCACUGUAUUCUCUGAAAUCUUCUUUCGAUAAACUUUACCCCCUUGACCUCCAAUCUCCCAUUUGCUCGUCAACUUGUCUGAGGCAUCCAUGCUGAAUAUUUAUUGAAAUAUACUCGAAGUCGAGUGUGUAUUUCAUGCUCUUUAUUCAGCUCAUAGUAGUGAGGAAUGAAAGUUCCCCUAAAAUAUCUGCUUUAUAUACAUUAUUUACACAAUGAGCCGCACGUGAUUGGCUAAUUCUGGGAUUCUCCUGUAGGCCAAUCAGGUUGCGGAUUCACUUCCACCUGAAGAUGGAUUGGGUGGCUCCUGUGGACCAAUCAUACAGUACUGCUGCAUUGUUCUAGGACCAACCAGACUGCUGCAUUCUGGACCCUAUUGUUCAAGGACCAAUCAGACUGCUGCCUUUUGGAUCCUAUUCAACUCAAUACAUAAAAUUUAUAUUCUGCUGUAUUUAUAAAACUGCUGUAAGUUUUAUAAGUGUUUUAGGUGAGAAAAUACAUUGCAGUAGGAAAGGUUAACUCAAGCAUGCAGUACCUGUGGACUUUUAAGUUUAGCUGGGCAACAGCACCCACCUUGGUUUAAGACAGUCUCAACCAUCAUGGCCAACGAUCAGGGAUGAUGGGAAUUUUAGUCCAACAACUUCUGAAGAGCCACUGGUUCCCCAUGGGGUAAUGGAUAAUACUGGUUGAGCAAUAAAAUGUUAACACUCACACUCACUAGAAAUCACUGUGUUAACCAGGC